rnacentral:lncRNA from 1 species
UAUGAAAGUGACUGUGCAUGUGUAUGUGGGUGUGUUUGAAUGAUGUUGAAAGAAAAUAUAUCGUUUCCCCCACAGUGCCUUUUCUCAAGUGCGAUGGCUGUUAUCCUGAAUAUACAUCUCACUGCAGUGCCCAUACUUAAAGAAGAACAAUCUAAAGUCCAAGAGGAAGGAGAAACAUCUCUAAAGACAAGAAGGAUGAAGAAAAAGAGAUUAUGGGAAUAACAAAAUCAUG